AGAGUUUGAUCCCGGCUCAGGAUAAACGCUGGCGGCGUGCUUUAUGCAUGCAAGUCGAACGGGCUGCCGCAAGGCAGUCAGUGGCAAACGGGUGAGUAACGCGUAAGUAACCUACCCUUAAGUGUGGAACAACUCUGAGAAAUCGGAGCUAAUACCGCAUGUGAUGAUGGGGCAUAAGUCCUAUCACUAAAGCCGCAAGGCGCUUGAGGAGGGGCUUGCGUCCGAUUAGCUAGUUGGUGAGGUAACGGCCCACCAAGGCUACGAUCGGUAGCUGGUUUGAGGGGACGACCAGCCACACGGGGACUGAGACACGGCCCCGACUCCUACGGGAGGCAGCAGCAAGGAAUAUUGGGCAAUGGGCGAAAGCCUGACCCAGCGACACCGCGUGGGGGAAGAAGGCCCUCGGGUUGUAAACCCCUUUUAUUAGGGUCGAAUAAUGACGGUACCUGAUGAAUAAGCUUCGGCUAACUACGUGCCAGCAGCCGCGGUAAUACGUAGGAAGCAAGCGUUAUCCGGAUUUAUUGGGCGUAAAGCGGGCGUAGGUGGCCUUUUCAAGUCCGAUGUGAAAUCUCCUGGCUUAACUGGGAGGGUGCAUCGGAUACUGUUGGGCCAGAGUGCAGCAGAGGGAGAUGGAAUUCCCGGUGUAGUGGUGAAAUGCGUAGAUAUCGGGAGGAACACUAGUGGCGAAGGCGGUCUCCUGGGAUGUAACUGACACUGAGGUCCGAAGGCGUGGGUAGCAAACAGGAUUAGAUACCCUGGUAGUCCACGCAGUAAACGAUGGGUACUAGGUAUGGGGAGUAUCGACCCUCUCCGUGCCGAAGCUAACGCUUUAAGUACCCCGCCUGGGGAGUACGGUCGCAAGACUAAAACUCAAAGGAAUUGACGGGUGCCCGCACAAGCAGCGGAGCGUGUGGUUUAAUUCGAUGCAACACGAAGAACCUUACCAGGGUUUGACAUGUAGGAAGUAGUGAACCGAAAGGGGAACGACCUGUUAAGUCAGGAGCCUUCACAGGUGCUGCAUGGCUGUCGUCAGCUCGUGCCGUGAGGUGUCGGGUUAAGUCCCAUAACGAGCGCAACCCCUGUUGCCAGUUGUUUUUUCUGGCGAGACUGCCCCGCACAACGGGGAGGAAGGCGGGGAUGACGUCAAGUCAGUAUGGCCUUUAUGCCCUGGGCUACACACACGCUACAAUGGGUGGUACAAUGGGUUGCAAUGGAGCGAUCCGGAGCUAAUCCUAAAAAACCACCCUCAGUUCGGAUUGCAGGCUGAAAUUCGCCUGCAUGAAGUUGGAGUUGCUAGUAACCGUGCAUCAGCUUGGCACGGUGAAUACGUUCUCGGGCAUUGUACACACCGCCCGUCACGUCAUGAAAGUAGGCAACACCUGAAGCCGAUGAGCUAACCCGCAAGGGAGGCAGUUGUCUAGGGUGGGGCUUGCGAUUGGGACGAAGUCGUAACAAGGUA
rnacentral:rRNA from 1 species